rnacentral:tRNA from 1 species
GAGGGUAUAGCUCAGUGGUAGAGUGCAUGCUUAGCAUGCAUGAGGUCCUGGGUUUAAUCCCCAGUACUUCCA